rnacentral:lncRNA from 1 species
AGUACUUAUUCAUAGGUAAUUAGUCUUUUGGUAAGCAAAUUACUACUUGUUUAACGUUCCAGUUAAGAAGCCAAAUAAGAUAUCAUUUACAUCAAAAAUGAAAAAAUAAGGGGGCAUCUACUUUCUAUAAUAACGACCUGGGAAACUCAGACCAUCCUUCCUUCUGAGGACGCUGAAAAAAACUGAAUCCAAGAACUAACAACAUAUUAAGGAACUGCCAGGUGGUGACCCAGCAUGCUAAGAACACAGCAAGGUAGUGGCUAUAUGCAUACUGGCUUUGUAAUCGUUGCUUAAGCCGUAUUUGUGCUGUGCAUUUUUUAUUAACUCCUAUGCAUCGCCAGGACCCUGAAGGUGUCAUACUCUUCCUGACAGGACCUACCAGCUUGACGGAGAGCUCUAUCCCCAUUUCCUAAAGAAGAAACCUGAUCCUUGGAAAUGUUCAGUGGCUGCCCCAAGAUGUCGGCACAACCUCUUGUGCUCUUGCCUCCUGCCACAAGAAC